CAGAGGUACUGAGUAGUGAGUGCCAUUGGGUACAGAGUUUCUAUGUAGGGUGAUGAAAGUGUUCUGAAAUUAAACAGUGGUGAUGGUUGGACAGCUCUGUGAAUAAACCACAACUCACUGAAUUGGGCACUUAAAAGGGGUUAAUUUUGUGGUAUGUGAAUUAUAUUUCAAUACAGCUGGUUUUUUUAAUCAUAGUUGAGAUUCAGUCUUGAUGAAAUGCAUUAUAACUCGAGAAUCCAAAUACAGCUCAUUGUGCAUAGUGUAAUAAAUUUGUUUUAUUCUUGAACAUAAGGAGACUUGAAUCCAAUGAAAAUUAUGACCUUAUGAGAGAGAAAAAAUUAUUCUGUUGAAAUAUGAAAGCACUUUAAACCGAAGACCAGCAUGCAAAUGAGCAGGAGCUUAUCAGCUGAGAGCUGCAAAUAUUCUGUGUAUCAGAGAAUUGGUAGUUGGGUUAUUGGUUCAUUUGGUCUCUCAUCCAAUGAACAUUUAUUAAGAAAUCUGAGUAGCAGUAUUUUUCUAGGAUCCUGAAGAGCUAGCUGUCUCAUCACUGGCUGAAUCAGUGAGCACCAGAAAGGUUUGAAAUUCUCUAAUACCUUGUGUAUACACUACAUCCCGGGCUGUGUAGAUCUGUUUCCUCUACAGCAAGACCUGGGGCUCUCUCAGACGAAAAUUGGAAGAGAGAGUUACACAGCUCUAACAGAACUGUGUUCAUCUUGACCACAAAUCCUGAUGCUUCUACAAACAGAAAAAUGGACAUUCUUUCCUAGAUAUAGUGACUUUCCUCUAACAUUUAUGGCCCAGAACUACCAUCAGUUCUCUAUCUACCUGGCAUCCAGUGUAAGCUUCAACGAACUAUAGCUGAUAGGCAGUCCAGUGCCUCUAGAAACACGUGGUUAUUGAACAGUUGAAAUGUGUCUUAUCCAAAUUGGGAUGUGGUGUCAGUACAAAAUACCCACCAAAUUUUGAAGACCUAGUACUAAAAAUCUAAACCAUCUCUUUAAUAGUUUAAAAUUUGUAUUUUAUGUUGAAAUCACACUAUUUUGGAUAUAUUGGGUGAAAUAAAAUUAUAUCACCCCCUCCCAAUGUAGCUAUCUCUUCCCUGAGGAUGAACAGCAAAGAACUCAGUUAAAAAAGGUCAGCCUUGUGAAGGCAACAAAGAAUAUAAUGAAAAGAGGUGAAGAGAGAGGCAUGGCAAGCCUCUGCUCACUAACUUGUUAUAACUGCUGUCAUAAUUGGGGGGAAAUUAGAAGAAUGGAGUUUGAGGUGUUAAUCUAAACCCUUCAGUCCUUCUGAAAUGUUAACACCAUUUUAUAACCAAGACUUCUUUCUGGAAGGGGAAUCCCAGCUGACCACAGGCAGAUUGUGUAGCUGGGCCUUAAGAGCUAGAUCUCACACAUAGGCUAAUGUAACUGCUGCUGCUACGUACAGGCUCAGCUGGACGUUUGAGGAGUUGAACCAGCUGCGCAAGGAUGAUCAAAAACUACUGGAUCCCCUUGCCAAGAUUUUCCCAUUAAGAAUAGUCAGUGGAUACUGGAACCAGUAGCAGCCCUUUCAUCCUCCAAGAAGGCUCACUGCUGCUCACGCAUCCACUGCCAGCUCUCCUGAGGAAGCAUUACCAGCCGGAGCAUGUCCCACCUGAGAUGGGGCUGGGAGAGCAGGUGAGUUCGGAUGCUUUUACCUCUGUCUUCUUUGAUCUCUGCCCCCUGUAAAUAAACCUCUUUUCCUUCCUUAAAUGCCUCCCAUUGUUUCAACUAACUCAUGAGGGUAGACUAAGGAAUACUAUUGAUAAGCAGGUUUCCUUUGUUUUUAUAGGUUUUAAAAAAGCUGGUAAAAAAGAAUCACACUCUCAGCACUGAGAUAGAGCCAACCAGUCACACGAUUGCCCAAGCAAGAAAAUCCUCUUUUCUCAUUUGAACACUAUUUCUUGGCUAAAGCCCAGCAUUUUCAUUUACGGGUCUGGUGUUUCCGUGUGCGUUCACAGCAGGAAGCGUCCCUGUAAGAUCCUUGCCCAGGAAGCAGCCCACUGGAUCCUCCCAUUUCACUCCAGAAUGAAGGCAUCCUAGCAGGACCACAGAGGAAUACAGUAACAUCUGGCUGUCUCUUCAUAUUUCACUGAAAAAAUUUACUUCUAAUAUGAAGAGCCAGCAACAACAUCUGUAUUGUCUUGUUUCCAGAGAAAGAAGCAGGAACUGACCGAGGGCUGUGGGGCUGGUCUUACAGUGGCCCAGAACUCAUGUGGCAGCUGGUGUUGCUGGAUGCUGCGUCUCCCAGAGACGGGCCUGCCUGCUGAGCGCCUAGGAGUGGUUCCAGCUCUGCGAUCAGAGGUGGAGAAAAGUCAGGCCUUUUCGUAGUCCCCGGGUGUUACGAUUCGCCUAAGCCAGGACCACCCUAAAUUCAACCCAGCGGUGGUGAGAAUUGCUUUCAUCAGAACCAACCAGCUAUGGGCUAUCCUGUCUGGGGAGGGUUGCUCUACCCUUGGAAGAACCAUCCCAGAGCUUCCCUGCAGUUUCUCGGCUCCGGUACAGCACUGCUUUGUCCAGGUCUUCAGUCCGUGGAGCACUGCCUGCCUACUUUGCUGCUCCAGCGCCAUAUCCGUUUCCCGGAUGUUAAACAGAGAGGGAUGCUCAUGGUGACAUAGCCAAGCAUCCAUCAGUUCAUGGCUGCAGCAGGGACAUCCACCUGGGGUCUACUGAGGGGGUCAUCCUAGGCGUCCUUCAAGCUAUUUUCAACAUUUCAGAGCGUCUGCCUUGGAGUAGAAUAUGCAUCCCAACCGAAACACCCACUACCUCAAACGAACAAGCAAAAACAAUCUUUCAUUUGAUGCCAGGUUUAAUUUCUAUUUUU